ensembl:lncRNA
GCUGCUAUCAUUCUGUUGUUUAAUUGUUCUCCUGCAGCAAUUAUUUUACUAUUCUUCGAGGAGUUUUUGAAUUUGUUUCAAAUCUGUGAGGUUGGCUUGACUCCCAAUGUAAGUCGCUAAUGUAAAUCUCUGUUUGAUGUGAAUUUCUUCGUAUGUAAAUGGAAACAGCUUUGCAACAGACAGCAACAGAUUUGAAGUUUAAGCUGGUUUAUAACAAUUCAUCACCAUAUUAUCACAAAGUGCAUGUAAUUGGCAGUAUGACCUCAUUCUACUAUAAUGCCAGAUGUCUGGGCACUCGAGUUAGCUGACAGCUAGCCAGCUAGUUAGCGUAACCUAUCUUUCCAUAUUAAUACUUUAACGUUUACACCAGUACUGUUUACUGGUGAAUUUAAAGCAGUGGUCAUGAGGGAAAAAUUAUAAAGAAUGAAAAUGGUUCUCAUGUUUAUUGUAAAGUUAAAGUACUGUAAAGUUCUUUUUUUUUUUUUUUUUUUUUAUGGGAGUCUACUGGAUAGACUAGAAUCCAUCCCUAUUUUCAGCACUUCCAUACAAUUUUUCUCAUUGAAGUGACAAAUGUUUUUAUUGUUAUCAGCUAUUAACAGCUGAAUCGACGAAAGGUUAGCUUCAUGCAUUUGGCUGAAAAAACAAGCGUGGCAGAUACAUUUCAGACAGUUAGUCACUCCUGGAGUAAGGAGGCAGAGUCAAAUGCUGACCUUAUUUUGGAAAAUAUACACUUUUACUGCCUAUGCUACUGCUGCCAGUAUUAGUAAUUUAAAACGGCUGCUUAGACAAGCAAGAUGCCAGACAGAUUCAUUGUUCAUCACAAUUCAUUUCCUUCUUCAUAUAAUAUAUUUGAAUCAUAUCCCCCCCCCCUUCUUGACAAACCUCAUGUGUCAAAGGUAAUUAUUUUAAAUUCAAUUUCUAGGUUUAAUUUUAAAGUGAGCAUAAAUUUAAAAGAACAGAAAUCAAACAAAAUUUCACAGUUUCACCAUUUGACAUUUUUCCUUUGUACUAU